CUAAGAUCCAGAUCCAGCUCUAUAAAGCAUUUAACAUUUAGAAAUGAAGUGAGACCAAUGUUAAUAGCAAAAAUAUGCAACUAUUGGAAUUCAAUGCAAAAAACUGUCAUUAUUGAGGCAAUUAGGUUUUACUUAAUGCUCUGAGUCUUAGCAGAACCAGUCUCCCGUGGACAGCUAGCUUCAGUAGCUGGUCCCCUGGAGGUUUAAGGACAAAUGUCUGCUGGGAAGGGAACCUCUGUCUAGAUGCCUCACAGAAAGGGCAGCCAAACAGGGAUGGAUUCCCAGCACCAGCCACUUAGGACAGAGAACAGACCUGCAAGCAGUAGCUCUUGAAGUCUCAAAGUAAGGAUUAGAUAUUCUUUUAAAAUCAGUAUCACAGUUUUUAUUGAUUCUAGAGAGACACGGGGGAAAAGGAAAGAGGGUAAAUCAUUGUUGGCCUGUUGGCUUUGUGACCUCAAGACACUUCCUUAAAAUGUGAGGCCAAAAGGGGAGGCUUCCUUUUCUUUAAUUAGCAUAUUACCUUGAAAGUUCCAGUACAAUUUUCAUGUACCUAAUAGUCACUUGCCAUCUGUCUUAGAUGUUUAAGUCUUUGGAGGUUCUCCUCAGUGUCCUGGGCUUCAUGAAGAAAUGAGCCUUCCUCUUCCUGCCUGAGCAUCCUGUGCCAUUUGUCAGUGGUCAUGGAGACUACAGGAUUCUUAUUCUCCAAGAACUGUCCAGAUUUUGAU
rnacentral:lncRNA from 1 species